GUUGUGGAGGUGAGUUGGGAAGAAUAUCCAAGGAAAAGGGUAAGGCUGGGAAUUCACACAGGAAAGGAUCUUCUCCUUGCCCCAAACCAGCCCGAAACUGCAAGUGAAAAGUUGUUUUUAGGAAUAAAUGGGUUUUUUUUCUGGGAUUCAGUGCAGGAAAUGUUGGAUCACCAACAGCUUUUGGACCCUGGUUUGAGGGGGAUGGGUCUUCCUGAGAGGAAUCUGAGGGAUCAGAGGGAAUCCUGGAAGUCUCCUGUUUUCACCCUCUCCACCAGGACAUGAUCAAAUCCCUUCCUGACUCCCAGUUUUUAAAGCUGAACCCACAGAAAUCCCAAUCCCUGCCCACAAAAUUCCGGGGUUGCUCCCAGGAUCAGCUCCAGGACUCAUGGAAUCCUCAAAUCCAAUGGUCCACAGAGCCUGGAGCGCUGAUCUGCCCACCCCAAAGCAUUGGAUUCAUCCUCAGUGACCCUCAUCCCACAGGUCUGGAGGCAGCUGAAGUCCACAGGCAGCUCCAAGGGUAUUCCCAGUCUCGGGAAUACACCAGGAAUGGUGAAAAGUGGGAAGAAAAACUUGGCACAACUCACGGCAAGACCACGGUGAAGCCCUCCAUGGAGCCACCUCCACUCCUUGCAGCCCCGGCGCAGCAGACAACGGGAACCUCUCAGCGAGGAGCCGACAGCCAAUUACCAGCUCGGUGCCUGCAGCCCAUGGAUGAGGGCUCCUGCCAGCACCAUUCCCUGCUCUGGUACUUCCACGGCCCCAGCAGCUCCUGCCGGCCCUUCCUGUUCGGGGGCUGCCGAGGGAACAGCAACCGCUUCCCAUCCCGGCGGGAAUGCCAGCGCCACUGCCAGAGCUCCCCAGGUGAGGCUGGGCCCCUCAAAUUCCCUCUUCCUCCAGCCAGGAGCGAGGCCAGGGUGGGAAAGCCCAUCCAGGAUUUGCUCACUCCCAGUUCCUUAAGGUGGAAGUGCCAGGGAGUUGCAGGGUUUUCUUCCCUUCCCAUUCCCAGAUCGUUCCCAGGAGCUCCUGGACAUCUCCCGUGGGUUAAUUCCAUGGAUGUGUGCAUGGAUCCACCAGGCCCAGAUAUUUUGGAUGUCUUUUGUGCUUUCCAAGGACUGAAAUUGUGCAGAAAUUUGGGGAUUUGUGCCCUCAGAACCCUGGGAUGUUCCAUCCAAACACACUCUGGCAUCUCCAGGCAGAACCUGAAGUCAAACCUAGACCAGUUUAGGACUGGAUUAACACCCCAGGCUUGGGGUCUCACCUCAUCCAGGGAUUCAGUGGGAAAAUCUGGAAGCACAGCUUGGCUUCCAUUGCCAGAUCCGGGGGUUUUGGGAUCAGUUUGUGUGGAUUUUCCCUCCUCUCCAGCUCAUCCCAAAUGGGGCCUGGCAGGAAUGCAAACCCUGCUCCAAGCAGGGCAGGAGCUGUGACUGAUCCCCGCCUUCCAAGGAAAAUAUUCCUCUCCCAGAAUUCCCUCUGCCUGGAAACCUCUGGGAAAAAAAUCCGUGAAUUCUCCACAAUCCAUUAAAAAAAACCUCUGGCAAGGUUCAUCUGCUCUGGGUUUGAGGGAAACUGUAAAAAGAGAGAGGAGUUAAAGGCUCAGAUCCAUAAUUUUGGGAAUCACUCCAAGGGCUUGAGAUCCAGGCCCAGCAGCACCAGGAAAUGACUGAAACUCCUCCUGCCCAUUUUUUUUCCCAGGGAAUUUGCUUUAGGAGCCACUGAGAAUUUCACAAAGCAGCUGAAGGGACCUCCAGCGUGCUUUGUGGGAAGAAAAAAACACUGGGAAUGGGAUUAAUCCCAAUCCAAGACAGAUCCUUGAGCCCUCCAUGUGCCCAUUUUCCAUGGCUGAUCCUAAACAGAGCCAGGAUCCAGCCAGGAUUGGGAUAUUUGCUUUUUGUGGAUGUGGGAUGGGACAAUCCCAGGGUGUCAGGGACCUCCCAAGCCGCUGUGAGCUUGGGAAUUCCAAGAGGGAAUUCCCCAAACUGCAGCCAACAUUCCCAUUUUUUCCUCUUCUCUCUUUUUCCCAAAUCAGGCAGAGGGAGAUGAGUGGCUCCAAGUGCUUCAUUUAAAUCCAGCAGGAUUGGGAGGAGUCACCCCAACACCUCCAGGAUGGACGAGGAAAACAAACACCAAGACACUGGAAAAAAAGUUGUCGGAAAACUGGAAAUAUGGACAUUAUGGGAUGAGGAGAGGGAAACCUCUGGAUGCUCAGGAAAAGGACGGUUUGGAAUUCCUGAGCCAAACCACGUGGCACAAAAUUCCCGAGUUUUAUUUUUGUAAAAUAAAAGUGUCUCAAUGCUGUGGAAUUCUGGAGCAUUUGCCUGGAAGAGGGAAACCUUGGGAAUGGCAGAGAAAGGUGGGAAAAUCUAUUUUUCCAGCUGGAUUAGGUGGAGCCCCAUCCCUUUUGGCCUGGCCCUAAAUUCCCUGGGGCCUUCAGAAUUCCCUCCUCCUCCUCCUCUUGGGAAUUCCCUGGGGCCUUUAAGAAUUCCCACCUUCUCCUUCACUCCUCCUUCCUUUGGGAAUUCCCUGGGCAGGUUAAGAGGAGCCAUCCAAAAAUCUCGAAGAAAAAAACAGGGAUCCAAGCCAGGCUUGUCCCUAAAAAAAUCCACUUCCAAUUCCUCAAGGAGCUUGGAGCUGCAACUUGUGGAAAUCCAAGAAAAGGUGUGGAAAUCCAGGAAGAGGGAUUCCAAAUCCCGGGAUUUUGGUCCCAUGGAGACACAGACACAGCUGAGAGGAGUUCUGCCCCAUGGGACAAUCCCUGGGAAAGGUUACAGGAUUUCCAAUGGGAAAACAAGGAUUUAUUAAAAGUUUUCCGUGUAAUUUGGUAAAACUGAGCUCAGAUUUCCCAGGUUUCAGAGUUCCCAGAGUUCAGAUUUCCCGGGAUUUGGGGUUGGCUCUUUGCUCCUGGUAGCACAGGUAGGAAAAGGAUUCCCUCACUCCCAAAAUCCCGGUACUGGGCAGGGAGGAGCAGAGAUUUGGGGACUUUCCUUCCUUUUCCUCCUCCCCCCAAAAAAAAAUGAAAAACAUGGAAUUUUGGAAGCCUUGGCAAGGAGCCAUUUCCACAGUGACAAUUCCAACCUCUCCUCCUGAAAUCCUGGUCUGUCCUGAGAUGUCCUUGGGCAGGAAAAACA
ensembl:lncRNA